rnacentral:tRNA from 1 species
GCUCGGGUUGGCGCCCAGGUACAGCGCCGCCGCGCCCGCGACGUGCGGCGAGGCCAUCGACGUGCCGGAGAUGGUGUUGGUCGCGGUGUCGCCGGUGUGCCA